AUCCACUCCAGGCCGCAGAGCAGCCGCCCGGUGCUGCUGAGCAAGAUUGAGGGCCACCAGGACGCCGUCACCGCAGCGCUUCUCAUCCCCAAGGAGGACGGCGUGAUCACCGCUAGCGAGGACAGGUAAGGUCUGGGAGCACGCGGGGGCCAGGGCGUGAGGUGGUGACGGCCACGAGGCACGGGGAUCGUGGGGUCCGCGGCUCUGCCUCCCCUCUUGUUGUCACUCCGGAUCGAGCGGCCACCUCGUCUCUCGCGUCCCCGUAGUCCACCGAGAUCCUGGUGCCGUCAGGCGGAUCUGUCUUACUCCUUUAGUCUGGGACCUAUCUCCCAACGCGCGCCUUUAGUCCUGGGAACCCUUACACGCUCAUUCAGUCCGGAACCUGGUUCUCCAGCGCCCCCUCUAUCUUGGGACCCUGACCCACAGACUCUUCCGUCCCUGGACCGGGUCCUACAGCGCCCCUCCAGUCUCAGGACCCCGACGUAUAGCACCCACCCAUCCUGGGACCCUGGAUUUCACAGGAUCUCUCUAGACCAAGCUCUUCCUCCAAACGUCUUCAGUUCAGGACCUUCACCACACCCUUCUAACCUGGGUCCUGGUCCCUCCAUUCCUCAUCCUGACUAAACCUCUAUCCUCACCGCUGGCCUGCAGU
rnacentral:lncRNA from 1 species